CGGGCCGUAGCUUAGCCUGGUAGAGCGCUUGCAUGGGGUGCAAGAGGUCGGGAGUUCGAAUCUCCCCGGCCCGACCA
rnacentral:tRNA from 1 species